rnacentral:rRNA from 1 species
UACGUAGGGUGCGAGCGUUGUCCGGAAUUACUGGGCGUAAAGAGCUCGUAGGUGGUUUGUCGCGUUGUUCGUGAAAACUCACAGCUUAACUGUGGGCGUGCGGGCGAUACGGGCAGACUGGAGUACUGCAGGGGAGACUGGAAUUCCUGGUGUAGCGGUGGAAUGCGCAGAUAUCAGGAGGAACACCGGUGGCGAAGGCGGUUCUCUGGGCAUUACCUGACGCUGAGGAGCGAAAGCAUGGGGAGCGAACAGG